rnacentral:rRNA from 1 species
UACGGAGGGGGCUAGCGUUGUUCGGAAUUACUGGGCGUAAAGCGCACGUAGGCGGCUUUGUAAGUUAGAGGUGAAAGCCCGGGGCUCAACUCCGGAAUUGCCUUUAAGACUGCAUCGCUAGAAUUGUGGAGAGGUAAGUGGAAUUCCGAGUGUAGAGGUGAAAUUCGUAGAUAUUCGCAAGAACACCAGUGGCGAAGGCGGCUCACUGGCCCGAUACUGACGCUGAGGUGCGAAAGCGUGAGGAGCAAACAGG